CAAACACUCCCACGGGUCAGUGAAGAUCUCCUCUUUCUCUUUCUCUCUGUCGUACUUAUGAAAUGAACCUCAUAUGUCCUAGUAGUCCGUGUGUGCUGCAAUAUGAAAGGCUGACACUUCACCCAGUGUGCUAUUUUCCAUCCUGCCAGCCAGGCACAGAAAUAGUAAGUAUGAUUUCCUCUGACUUUAAAAAGCUGGGUCCAGAAUAAGGUGGAGAUUCAGCUCACUCUCAUGUGGACUAGUGGUUAAAGCAGUACACCAAGAAAUCUUGAGGAAUAUUCUCAGCAGACAUUGCCAUACAACCUUUGAAAUAUAUGUGUUUCUAACACUGAGCAGUGCCUAAAGAAUUGUAGCUAACACAUGGUUGUUUAACUUUCAUGAAACCCCCUAGGCACACACUAAUAUUUUUACUUUCCUUUUACCAGGAUGCAAACUUGAUGAUCUUGGAGGUCUUUUCCAACCUUAAUGAUUCUAUGAUUCUAUGAUAUAUGUAACUUCUGAUUAGCUUACAGAAGAAUGGGAGGUGAAGUGGC
rnacentral:lncRNA from 1 species